rnacentral:rRNA from 1 species
GCAUAUCAUAAGCGCAGGAAAAGAAACCAACAGGGAUUGCCUCAGUAACGGCGAGUGAAGCGGCAACAGCUCAAAUUUGAAAUCUGGCCUCUUGGGGUCCGAGUUGUAAUUUGUAGAGGAUGUUUCGGGUACCGCCUCGGUUUAAAUUUCUUGGAACAGAAUGUCAAAGAGGGUGAGAAUCCCGUCUUGGACCGGCGGUAGGGCCUAUGUGAAACUCCUUCGACGAGUCGAGUUGUUUGGGAAUGCAGCUCAAAAUGGGUGGUAAAUUUCAUCUAAAGCUAAAUAUUGGCCAGAGACCGAUAGCGCACAAGUAGAGUGAUCGAAAGAUGAAAAGCACUUUGAAAAGAGAGUUAAACAGUAUGUGAAAUUGUUGAAAGGGAAGCGCUUGCAACCAGACUUGAGCGCGGCGGUUCCCCCUUGCUUCUGCUUGGGUUACUCCGCCGUGUCCAGGCCAACAUCGGUUCUGGGGGUCGGUCAAAGGCUCUGGGAAUGUAUCUACCCACGGGUAGACUUAUAGACCAGGGUGUCAUGCGACCUCCCGGGACCGAGGAACGCGCUUCGGCUCGGAUGUUGGCGUAAUGGUUGUCAGCGACCCGUCUUGAAACACGGACCAAGGAGUCUAACAUCUAUGCGAGUGUUUGGGUGUCAAACCCGGAACGCGGAAUGAAAGUGAACGGAGGUAGGAAGCUUCGGCUGCACUAUCGACCGAUCCUGAAGUUUACGGAUGGAUUUGAGUAAGAGCAUAGCUGUUGGGACCCGAAAGAUGGUGAACUAUGCCUGAAUAGGGUGAAGCCAGAGGAAACUCUGGUGGAGGCUCGCAGCGGUUCUGACGUGCAAAUCGAUCGUCAAAUUUGGGUAUAGGGGCGAAAGACUAAUCGAACCCAUCUGGUAGCUGGUGCUGCGA